UAAUAGAAGCUGAACUCACCCAAUUAUUUCUUGGGUCAAAGCACUGACCCAAUUAGACCUAGUAAACUUAUAUAAUAACUGGGCUUUUAACUAAAAACCUAAUAAACCCAAUUAACCCAAAAAUAAUAAGCCCAAUCUCUUUGAGCCUCUCGACUCUCUCUACCUCUUCGUUUCUAUCUUCAUGAAUUUGGGGAUUAGGGUUUCCAAACUCAAAUUAGGCAUUUCUCACUGAUUUCAUUAAUGAUUUUCACCCAAAAUCACCAAUUCUCACAAUCUGUUGCACCAACUAUCCUCUCUCUCUCUCUCUCUCUCUCUAUAUAUAUAUAUAUAUAUUUUUUUUUUUUGCUUUUGUAUCAUUGUGGAUGGCAUUUUCAUUUCCCAUGUAUUUGUUUCUUCCUUUACUAUUCAUCUUUGGUCUCUCUAUCACAAUGUGCUGUUUGGUUGGUGAGAAUUUUUAGUCUCUCUUUUCAGGAGGUUAUAAAAAUUCAUGCAGUUGGAUCUAGUAUGUAGAUACAAGUUGAUGUUAUGAUAAUUUUGGUUUUUGAAUCUUUCUUGUUAGAACAUUACAAAUUUGUUGCGCUUGUGUGACAAUUUUUAACUACUUUUUAGAGCUUAUAAAUUGCUUUAUAGUUUUUAAUCCAAUACUAUGUAUUGUUUAAUUUAUACUAUGGUGUUGCAUUGGUGCUUAAUAUAUAUGUUGAUGCAAAGAAACAAGGUUAGGACUUGAGACAGUAAUCGUACCUCACAACGAUGUACUUUCUUAGUGGGACGGACAUUGGGCAAUCGCAUUAUGCUUAAGGAUAGAAGAAAUUUUUCUUUGCAUUCUUUUUUGAGAUAUUAGAUGAACUUUUGACAAUCUAAAGAAAUACUAUAAUUUCAAUUGCUAAAAAAGAGAAACGCAUACACUGUAUAUGUUCAUUUAUCUAUUAGUCAAUAUUUCAUGGCAUAUCUUGAAAUAAUUAUUUUCACUCAUGAAACAAUAAAUUUCGAAGUUCAUGUCCUAUUUUUAUGUUAAUGUUUUGUUUUUUUGUGACAGAAAUCCACCAACAAAAUUGCUGGUGGUUUUAGAGAAACUCACAACAUACUCCUUUUGAUAAGUUCAAGAUUCUAAAGCUUUCCUAGGUUUACAUGCUCAAGGAGAGGAAUAAGUGCUAUGGUACAAUCAAGUUUAUUGAUAUAAGUUCUGAUGAUUAUUCUCUAGAGGAGAAUCAAGGCCUAAACUACAACUUUGUAUGUUCUAAACAGUAUUGAAAUUUUCAGUAGACACAAUUUGCUGGUUUAAGAGGGUUUGGUUAGGGCUGUAAGAUAAGAAAUAGAAAAUGAAGUAUGUGUGAAAGCAACACUACCUGGUAGUCAUUUCAAUAUGAUUUCAGAGACUAAUAUGUUACUGUCACAAUUUGCUGGUUUAAGAGGGUUUGGUAGGAGCUAUAAGAUAAGAAGUAGAAAAUGAAUUAUAUGUGACAGUAACACUACCUCUUGGUCGUAUCCAAUAUGACUUCACUGACUAAUAUUACUUUUUUUGGUGGCUUUUAUGGAUCAUAAGAAAUUUUCUGAAAAAUCCAGCAUGAAACCUUGUAGCUGCAUGGUUUGGCCAUAGGAAAGUAAAUGAUAACUUUGUAGAAUACAAAGUAGAGCAUAUUAACUUUGUGGUAUGUAUACAUAGAUUUUAGAGCACCUCUUUUGUCAGAUUUAUUACAAUAUAAUGAUGAAGUCUGUUUAUUGUUUAGGUUAUGGGAAGGAUUCGCUCAAUCCUCUGAUGGAACUGUUGUCACUGGUGUUGAAGUUCGCCCCAUUUCCUACCCUUUUUCCCCCUAUAAUUGUACAUUAAUUGUGCUAGCAUUUCUUAUUUUACUUUUCUUUCCAAAUUUCCACCAAGUCUGAGGUCACUAUCUUGAAUUAAUCAAGUCUAAUUUCUUUGUGUUGAGAGGAUUAUCAAGUCUAAUUUCCAUCACGUGUGCAUGUCACCUAUGCUAUGUGAAUAUGUACUAAUUUGUGUUUCGGUGGUCCAACCCGUGAAAGUUAUAGGAUAAAUGGGGGAAAGAAAACCCCACCAAUAGACUGUUGCUAUUCCAUGACUGGAAUCAAUUAGUACAAGUUCAGGAUUGUAAACCUUGAACUUUAAUGUGUUCUAGACAAUCACUAAUUGUUCGAAUAUCUAAACUCUCAAGGAGGCCUAAGUGCAGCAUAAGGAUGUGGAACUAUGAAGUGCCAAUGAUCACCACCAUGAUUCUAUCAUUCUAUUAAUGCUUGCAUAGGAAGCUUACUGAGGUCCUCUUAUAGGUACAUGGGGAAUGAUAUUUCUCACUAAGCCAAUUUCCUUAUCCGUCACCUUUCCAAUGAUUAAACAACUUUGUCAAUAGUAAAUACAAUGGUGUGGGACACAUUUGGGAUUCUUUAGAUGUAGAAUCUGUUUGAAGAAGCUGGCUAAAGAACUCUGAUAAGACUUUUCUUUUAGUUGUAUUAUCUGGGAUUCAUUUUAACCAAGAAAAAAGAAUUUAAAUGACAACUUUUGCAGGCAGUUAGAAGACUAUAUGAACAAGUUGGUCUUGGAUGGGUUUAUGCCAUUACCAAAUAUGAACCUGAAAGUUUCUUUGUUCUUCCAAAUUUUACUCGUAGUUCAAUCAAAAUGCUACCAUCUUGCAGACGAAUAGUGUUUUGGAUAAUGCUCCCUUGUCCUUUUCUCAUUAUUUGUACUUAAUAUAACAAUAUGCAUUUAACAGAUUGCAACAAUAACAGAUGUCAUAUAUGGUGUUUGGGCUAAAUACCAUCUUCAAUAACAGGUAAAUUCAUAUUGCUUAAACAAUUUUGCGUUACAACUCCUUCAAAGUUCUGUUGCAAUCAUGCCUUCUUUGCUUCAGUGACCAAAAAGUAUUGAUAUAGCUGAAUUGUUUUCUUGGAUUUACAUAAUAACAGAGUGGCACCAGCCUUAUGAUCCACACACCCAAACUAGUGACUUUAAAUUGUUGUGAUAAGAAAUUAUUUGUUCUAAUGACCUUUAAAUUGUCCAUUAACAGGAAAAAACCCAUCAUUUGGAUUUAGUUGCACCAUGAAAAACUCUCUUUGUGCUUUUUUAACUUGUCUCUAUGCAAAUUUUCAAUAUCAAACCUAGCCCACAACAUGCUUAACAGGAAGAUCAUGAGACUUGCUUUGAAAACAAAUUUUGUUAAUGACUAAUGUGAUUCUGCUCAAUCAAUCAAAUUUUAAAUUAUAAAAAUUUGAUGCAAAAUUAUCUGUUUUUGUCCAGGCCAACAACCUUUAGAAGAACACGGAUUACCAUAUUUGAGGUAUAUGGUGCUGAUUCAUGUUGGACGUUCUGUUUUCAUUGCAGGAUGAAGUGUAUAAUGACAGAAAUUCAUAUAAGAUGUGAACUUUCUCAAUAAUUGCCAGAAGUCCUAGCUUUCCAGGCUCGCUCUUCAUUUGCUUACAUAUAUGAUCUUCAAAACUGAGCUGGAUUUGAGCUCAUAGCUAGAACUUGUAAGAAGAUGAAGAGGUAUGGCAGUUCACAUACAUUUUUCAAUUAAUUUUAAUCAUCUAAUAGUCUAGCAAGUUGAUGCUCUUAUAAUGCAUAAUGAUGUGAUAAUUGACUUUUGUUGGAUGGGAAAAUGGAGAUAACCAAGCAAGCUCACUUUGGAAUUAGUUUAUCAAAGCUUUUGCUUAUCAUUCCAAGCCAAUAUCCACUUUGAAGUCCAACGGUUGAUAAGGAUUGAAGAGAUGAGUCUAGAGAGGUCUAGACGUUCAUGGGAAUUAGUUUCUGUUUGUAUAUAAGGUUUGACAAUUUGAUUGAUUCUCAAACUUCAUAAGAGUUUCUCGAAGAGGUAUGUCUUAAUUUUAGUUUUUUUAUCAGUUUUGCUUUGAUAAAAAUUAGCACCAAAAUUUGACUUCAUAUAACCGCUAUAAAUUGUAUUCUUUUGCGAUUCUUCUUUCUUAGUUCCUUUUCUUUGGUCCUAUAGUCCUGAAGGUUUUUUUGGAUACCUCAUGUAACUGCUAGCCUCAUGUAAUUGCUAAUACUGUAUCUCAAUAUCUCCAAAGAACAUUAUGGUCAACUUUUUUCUUUUUGGAAUUAUGGUUGGACAUUGGUCCUAGGCCUUUAAUCCUACAUUAUGUAGUUACUGCACAAUUAUACCA